rnacentral:rRNA from 1 species
AUUGAACGCUGGCGGCAGGCCUAACACAUGCAAGUCGAGCGGAUGAAGGGAGCUUGCUCCUGGAUUCAGCGGCGGACGGGUGAGUAAUGCCUAGGAAUCUGCCUGGUAGUGGGGGAUAACGCCCGGAAACGGGCGCUAAUACCGCAUACGUCCUGAGGGAGAAAGUGGGGGAUCUUCGGACCUCACGCUAUCAGAUGAGCCUAGGUCGGAUUAGCUAGUUGGUGGGGUAAAGGCCUACCAAGGCGACGAUCCGUAACUGGUCUGAGAGGAUGAUCAGUCACACUGGAACUGAGACACGGUCCAGACUCCUACGGGAGGCAGCAGUGGGGAAUAUUGGACAAUGGGCGAAAGCCUGAUCCAGCCAUGCCGCGUGUGUGAAGGAGGUCUUCGGAUUGUAAAGCACUUUAAGUUGGGAGGAAGGGCAGUAAGUUAAUACCUUGCUGUUUUGACGUUACCAACAGAAUAAGCACCGGCUAACUUCGUG